rnacentral:rRNA from 1 species
AACGAACGCUGGCGGCAUGCCUAACACAUGCAAGUCGAACGAGACCUUCGGGCCUAGUGGCGCACGGGUGCGUAACGCGUGGGAACCUGCCCUUAGGUUUGGAAUAACUCCCCGAAAGGGGUGCUAAUACCGGAUAAUGUCCUCGGACCAAAGAUUUAUCGCCUUUGGAUGGGCCCGCGUUGGCUUAGCUAGUUGGUAGGGUAAAAGCCUACCAAGGCGACGAUCCAUAGCUGGGCAGAGAGGAUGAUCAGCCACACUGGGACUGAGACACGGCCCGGAAUACUACAGGAGGGGGGAGUGGGGGAUCUUGGAAUAUCGGCGGGGGCCUGAUCGAGCACUGCCGGGUGAGUGAUGAAGGCCUUAGGGUUGUGAAGCUCUUUUACCCGGGAUGAUAAUGACGGUACCGGGAGAAUAAGCACCGGCUAACUCCGUG